CCAGAACCAUGGAGAUGUGGCACUGAGGGACACGAUUAUGCCACAGACUCUCUGAGGCUCAAGCUGCCUUUUAGGCACUCCGAUCUCAGCAGGAGCUCCUGUGUGCUCCGGAUAAUCAGCCAGCUUGCAGAGUGCUGGGAUCCGGGCAAGGAAAUCUGCAGCCAGCUCAGAAUUCAGGGCAAAAGAUUUGCUUGACAUGCAAACUGGAGGAUGCAGAGGUUGAGGAUGAGAGGUGAUGGCCUCACGAUGCACCGGGGGGAGGUUCAGGUGGC